ACUGAAUAGAUACCCUGGUAGUCCACGCCGUAAACGAUGGGUACUAGAUGCUUGGGGGAGCGACCCUCUGAGUGUCGGCGCUAACGCAUUAAGUACCCCGCCUGGGGAGUACGGCCGCAAGGCUGAAACUCAAAGGAAUUGACGGGGGCCCGCACAAGCGGUGGAGCAUGUGGUUUAAUUCGACGCAACGCGAAGAACCUUACCUAGGCUUGACAUGCACGGGAAACCUCUGAGAAACCCAGAGGCCCUCUUCGGAGUCCGUGCACAGGUGCUGCAUGGCUGUCGUCAGCUCGUGUCGUGAGAUGUUGGGUUAAGUCCCGCAACGAGCGCAACCCCCGUUCCAGUUGCCAGCGAGUAAAGUCGGGGACUCUGGGAAGACUGCCGGUGCCAAACCGGAGGAAGGUGGGACGACGUCAAGUCAUCAUGGUCCUUACGUCUAGGGCUACACACGUGCUACGAUGGCCGGUACAGCGGGUUGCGAGCUAGCGAUAGCAAGCCAAUCCCGUUAAAGCCGGUCCUCAGUGCGGAUUGGAGGCUGCAAC
rnacentral:rRNA from 1 species